rnacentral:rRNA from 1 species
GACGAACGCUGGCGGCGUGCUUAACACAUGCAAGUCGAACGGAAAGGCCCUGCUUUUGUGGGGUGCUCGAGUGGCGAACGGGUGAGUAACACGUGAGUAACCUGCCCUUGACUUUGGGAUAACUUCAGGAAACUGGGGCUAAUACCGGAUAGGAGCUCCUGCUGCAUGGUGGGGGUCGGAAAGUUUCGGCGGAUGGGGAUGGACGCGCGGCUUAUCAGCUUGUUGGUGGGGUAGUGGCUUACGAAGGCUUUGACGGGUAGCCGGCCUGGGAGGGUGACCGGCCACAUUGGGCCUGCGAUACGGCCCAGACUCCUACGGGAGGCAGCAGUGGGAAACAUUGCACAAUGGGCGGAAGCCUGAUGCAGCAACGCCGCGUGCGGGAUGACGGCCUUCGGGUUGUAAACCGCUUUCGCCUGUGACGAAGCGUGAGUGACGGUAAUGGGUAAAGAAGCACCGGCUAACUACGUG